rnacentral:rRNA from 1 species
UACGUAGGUGGCAAGCGUUGUCCGGAUUUAUUGGGUUUAAAGGGUGCGUAGGUGGCUCUAUAAGUCAGUGGUGAAAGUCUGCAGCUUAACUGUAGAACUGCCAUUGAUACUGUUGAGCUUGAGUACUGAUGAGGUAGGCGGAAUUGAUAGUGUAGCGGUGAAAUGCAUAGAUAUUAUCAAGAACACCGAUUGCGAAGGCAGCUUACUAAGGAGUUACUGACACUGAGGCACGAAAGCGUGGGGAUCAAACAGG